UACGAAGGGGGCUAGCGUUGCUCGGAAUCACUGGGCGUAAAGGGUGCGUAGGCGGGUCUUUAAGUCAGGGGUGAAAUCCUGGAGCUCAACUCCAGAACUGCCUUUGAUACUGAAGAUCUUGAGUUCGGGAGAGGUGAGUGGAACUGCGAGUGUAGAGGUGAAAUCGUAGAUAUUCGCAAGAACACCAGUGGCGAAGGCGGCUCACUGGCCCAGUACUAGA
rnacentral:rRNA from 1 species